CCAAUAAUCGCUUUGAUUUCUCUCGUAACUUUGUUUCCAAACACGGAAGAAAAAGAGAAGAAACAAUAUUUCCCAAACGCACAGCCGCGCUGACGGAGAGUGACGCCGUUAAAUCAGCGGAGGAAGAAAAAAACAGACAGUCACGUUUUCCAGAAAUUUCUCCCCUCCCGGUACAAAAGAGGACCUGGAAAGCUCUGAGAUGCAGAAAGUGGCCCAAGAUGGAGAGAAGAAGAAAAGAGAAGA